rnacentral:hammerhead_ribozyme from 1 species
GCACUGCUGAAGAGUUCCACAUUAGGACGAAAUGAUCAUCUAGUAC